rnacentral:rRNA from 1 species
AUGACAAACCGAAGAACCUUACCGUGGGUUUGACAUGUACGUGGUACGGAUCUAGAAAGGUGAAGGACUUACUCUUCGGAGUGAGAGCGUACACAGGUGCUGCAUGGCUGUCGUCAGCUCGUGUCGUGAGAUGUUGGGUUAAGUCCCGCAACGGGCGCAACCCCUGCAUUCAGUUGCCAUCGGUAAGGCCGGGCACUCUGGAUGGACUGCCGGCGACAAGCCGGAGGAAGGCGGGGACGACGUCAAGUCAUCAUGGCCCUUAUGUCCAGGGCGACACACGUGCUACAAUGGCCGGCACAACGGGAAGCGAAGGGGCGACCCUGAGCGGAUCCCACAAAAGCCGGUCUCAGUUCGGAUUGCAGUCUGCAACUCGACUGCAUGAAGUUGGAAUCGCUAGUAAUCGUGGAUCAGCCAAGCCGCGGUGAAUACGUUCCCGGGCCUU